rnacentral:Y_RNA from 1 species
GGCUGGUCUGAAGGUACUGAGUUAUUUCAAUUGAUUGUUCCCAGUCAGUUAUAGACUGAAAUCCUUGUUGUACUCUUUCUCCCCUUCUCAGUAAAGCACUGGAGUAGUUUUAA